UUUUUAUGUAUUUAUUCAAUAAUAGAUGAUUUGUGUGAAAAUUGUAUUCUCUUCUGUUAAUAUUUACGCCUUCGGCGAUCUUCGAUGGUGCUGCAGGGAGUCUAAUUAUAUUCCUAAUUGACGAUAAUUAGUCAAGUCAAGAUGACCUUCAGCCGAGAACUGAAGAAUUGAGCCGCGGGGGGAACAACAAUAGAUGUCUGCAUAAUGUAGUACUUUUAAAGAAAUGCAUAUUUAAAAUGGACUAAGAAUUGAAACGAUACAGUGGUUUACAGGACAUGCGUAUGGCACAUCUAAUAUAAUCAGACCAUCGUGGGCGGGUGUUGCUCAUUCAAGUGUUUUUCUUUGAGUAAUUAAUGAAAAUGUUUAAUAUUUGUCAGGUAUAGUAAUUUUUGAUCGUUUUAAACUGACGUCAGAACGAAUGCCAUCGAUUGGGCAUUAGUCUAUACACUUGUUGAUUUUUUACUCUUUCUAAAGAUUUGUGUUUUCAUUAGUGAAAUUAGAUACUACAAUUGUAAUAUCCCAUUUCGUUUUAUUGUCAGUUUGUGAUUAUAAAGAUUUUUUGUAAGAUUAUUCAUAUUCCUGCCUCGUUACACGGUGUUAUAUAAAGACCGUUUCAAUCAAAACUAACAGUUAAUCCUCUUCGUCUGGCAUGCAGUAAUGGAUACUUUACACCAGAUGGCAUGUAGUCCUCAAAUCUGCCACCUGCAGAUCUCAAUGGGGUCAGGCGCAACAGGCAGUGCCCGGCCACUUUUUUAGCCGUCUUGGUUUAGUAUUCAGCCGUGAAAAUGUAUGUGUGUAUGCAAUGCAUAGGGGCGCCACACAAAGGAGCGCCAACAUGACCCCACCCCCUGAAAGGAAAAAAUGUUCAAGGGGCCCAUCCCCUCCCCCAAUCCAAAGUCAAUGGCCCUGCCCCAAAUGGCACCCUCUGCCCUUGCGGUCUUCCGAUUGGGCGUUAGUCAGCAAGUCCAUGAGUGGGCAUGAGUGGUUAAAGUGUGCAUUUGGAACAAACUUCAAUCAGAUGAUGCAUUUUUUUAAACUGUUUUUAUAUACAUACAGUUUUACAAAUUAAUAUUUGUAAAGGGUUAUGGCAUUGAGAGAUAUGAUAAAGGAACACACUUUAAACUCACUAUUGAAUAUUUGUUUUUAGUAAAUAAUUUCAAGCAACACACUCACAACAAAGCAUUAGAUCAUUUAAGCAAGAACCUCUAAAAAACAAAACGCACAUAUAACUACAUCAACAAAACCUCAUCCUUAUAAAUCUUUAGAGAACAAAUAAACAUGAUUCAGACUCAUGGAUUUUAAGGGAAGGUGCUUCGAACACAGUAAAAUGUUUAGAGAGAACAGACCGCCAUAUAUUUCGCAAAAAUAGUUAUAAAAUACACACUGCCACACUUUUGCUGGUAUAAAUAUCACUGUUAGACCGAAUGAUGCUAUAUCAAUAAACAUAAGUUUAAUUUAUAAUGUGCAUUAAAUUAUUCUCUCCUGUCUUUAUAUUUUAGAGACUCAUAGUAAUUCUAAUAUCCUCUUUGAAACAUCAAGAGCAAAGGUUUAAUGUUGUUACCUACUUUUAUUAACGUAAAACUUCCCCAAGAAAAACUAUUCAAUAAAUUUAAUGGGAGUAAUUAAAAUAAAUAAAACAACGUUUUGAACCAGUUCUACACAUCAGACUUAAAAAUGAUACUAUAUACAUAUGAUAAGCAAGUGAUCCGCCAUUAAAAAUCAGUAAAAAACAAUGAUUAAAAUACAUUUUAAAUUUGCGAUUGAUCAUCGCCUCGUUCUCCAUGUUUGUUCUCUGGCUCGGAAACUCCAGUCCGCUGUGAUUGGUUGAGAGGAUCAGUAGUGGUGACUUUUAUAGGGUAAUAGUCCACUGUGGAGCCCACACUGAUGCGGACUCAGCCGAAGGGUGCAAAGGGGGCGCUCGCGAGCACUCAUCAGAUGCUAAAAUGUCAAAUGGGACACCCUACGGUCUCAUGGACUUGGCGGGAACGUGCAAAUGAAGGCCUCAAAACCGCAUCAGUCCAAAUCAUGUGCCAUUUGGAACAGGGCCAAUAUCGCAUACCCCCCGUAAAUGGGUAGUUGCACCCCUAUUCUCAUUAUUACAAAUGUACACAAAUAUAUUUGUGUAAUUUGCAGUAUGUCACGAAGUGGGCAGUCGCUGCUAGGCUCGUUUGGCGGGCUUUGUUGGCUGAUUGGUGAAUCGUUUCUCUUCAGGAUUAUGGGUACUAUAGAUCUUCAGAAAUUCCUCAAUGAAACAUGCUUUUAAAAAAUGUAAGUUGAAAUAACACAAAAUGGCUUUAACAGAAGCAUAUGCCAAUGAUUAAUAAAUAGACUGUUAAUGGAGCUCACAGUAGGUCUGUCUUUAAAGAUUUAUAAGUUAUCUUUAAAAAUAAUUUCCCCUAUGGAGAAAGUUAAUGGGAUUUUUACAUCCAGAACCAGCAGACUGUUGUGCUCUAUCGGUCCCCGUGAACCCCUGCAGUGUAUGUGGUACAUGUUGCUGCCAGGGUGUGUCUCUGGCUGGGCACUGCCAUGGAAGCUAAGGGCCACUGCAAGGAUAUCUUGUGUCUAUUUUAAUUUUCUAUCAGCUCAUCUGUCUUAGUCUUCCUGGGCCUGACUGGUUGUUUUACAUACUGCAUUUAAAAGUUACUAUUUUCAUUGGGUGUUUAGUUGAAAUUUUUGGGACUUGACCUCCAGUGGUCACAAUGUUGACUCUUUUUCCUGAUAUUUCUGUUAAAACAGGAGAUGUGUGAUUCAUCAGAGGCUCGUCUCUUGUGGAAGGUCUACUGUUUCAAUAACACACACAACAUUGACUGCAGUACCCAAUGUGAUGCCCAAGAAUGGACAAGUCUUUGCGAUGAAUACUCUUUUGUAAAUGGAGGUUUACUGGAAGAUAACCAGAAUGACUUUUUAUUGCACACUACCCAUUUUGUGUACUUGUUUGCCUAGUAUUAAAUGUACAUGGUUGAGAACAGUUCACUUUUUUGUAGAUCCCUCAGGGCCAUUGCCAAUUAUUCAGUUAAAAAAAAUCUAUUUAAUUAAUUUAUUCAGUCCUUGUAUUGCUCAACUUUUAGUCUAGUGUUAGAUGGUUACUGGCAAAUAAAGUCCAUAUAUAAUCACUGUAAGUUUCAUCAAAGUGGAGAAAAGCCAUAAAUAACUCUUUGAAUCUGAUUCUGUUCAUGAGUAGAUGAUUGAAGAACAGUUAAUUGGUAAAUGCUGGAUUCAAAGGAAUCAUGUUUUCAUGGUCUGUACAGCAGAUAAAAUGCAUUCAGUAUUGUGAUUAUUAGAUACUUUUAUUUUGUCAUUUUAGUGUGUAUUUAAAUAGGCUCACUAAUAAAGGUCAUACUGAAGUCUUACAACAAAAGUGUGGACCUUGCUAAUUUAGGAGGGGCAUUUUUAAGGGGUUGUCAUGCAAGGUUUAUAAAAGUUUUAUUCAUGAUUUAUAAAGAGUUCACACCAUCUAACAUUCUAUCUAUCUAUCUAUCUAUCUAUCUAUCUAUCUAUAUAUAUAUAUAUAUAUAUCUCAACCGCUAUAUAUAUAUUUUUUUUAAGCCUGGACAAUUUGUCUGAGCCUUAUUUACAAGUCUGUGAUCGUCUAAUCAUGCAUGAAAAAAGAUUAUUCAAGCUCCCUCUGUCUAGAAAAUCUUUAAAAUGGGUGGCUGUUGGUUAAUGAUGCUGGGUGUACUUAUUAUGAAUUAUUACAUAUAGUACAUAAACACAAUGUUGCUCCAAAAAGUGUUUGAACACAAUAGCCAUACUUAAAAUGUAUAAAUGUAAUUACAUUACUUACUCAUAUCAAACCAAGUGCCAUUUGCAAAGCAAUCAUGCACAUGUAUCUUCACAUUUCUUAAACAACUAGUCCCAAAAUCAUUUUGAGCAGAUGUGUGAAGUCAGCACAGAUGUAGUUCAUCAUAUUAAAGGAAUAUUCCUGGUUCAAUACGAGUUGAGCUCAAUCGACAGCAUUUGUGGCAUAAUUUUAAUUACCACAAAAAUUAUUUUGAUUUGUCCCUUGUUUAUAUGAAAAAAAAGCAAAAAUCACUGUUACACUAAGGCAAUUAGAAUGGAAGUGAAUGGGACCAGUUGUUUUAAAAGUAUAAUUACAAGAUGUGAACAUUAUAAACGUUAACAUCAUUUAAGUGUGAUAAAAUCUCUAUUCUAUAUGACUUUUGUGUAUAAAAUCACUGUGGCUUUGACCGCAUUGCAUCGACAUGGCAACAAAGUUGUAAUACAUGAUUUUACACUGAUGAGUUUAGUAAGAAAUUUUAUCAAACUAAAAUCAUAUUAACAUGUAUAAUGUUUAUGCCUUGUGGCUAUACUUUUAAACACAUUUGAUUUGAACAUUUAUGGAUUGGCACCAUUACUUACAUUGCCUCAGAGUAACCACAGUUUGUUCUUUUUCUUUCUUUUUUUCCUUUUUUAAAAUGAGGAGUGAGUCAAAAUGUAAAAAAAAUGAAAUAAUAUAUAUAUAUUCUUUUGUGGUAAUCAAUAUUAUGCCACAAAUACUGUUGAUUGAGCUUAACUUGUACUGAACCCAGAAAAUUCCUCUAUAUUGACUUUUGUCUUAUGUUUGAAUGAUAUAUCUAUUUGUUUAUCAUUUAAAAAUCUAAUAAA